rnacentral:rRNA from 1 species
ACUGCUCAGUAACACGUGGACAACCUGCCCUUAGGACGGGGAUAAACCCGGGAAACUGGGUAUAAUACCCGAUAGGUCUCGAUUGCUGGAAUGCAUCGAGAUUUAAAGCUCCGGCGCCUAAGGAUGGGUCUGCGGUCUAUCAGGUAGUAGUGGGUGUAGCGUACCUACUAGCCUACGACGGGUACGGGUUGUGAGAGCAAGAGCCCGGAGAUGGAUUCUGAGACACGAAUCCAGGCCCUACGGGGUGCAGCAGGCGCGAAAACUUUACAAUGCUGGCAACAGCGAUAAGGGAACCUCGAGUGCCAGGUUACAAAUCUGGCUGUCGAGAUGCCUAAAAAGCAUUUCAUAGCAAGGGCCGGGCAAGACCGGUGCCAGCCGCCGCGGUAACACCGGCGGCUCGAGUGGUAACCGUUAUUAUUGGGUCUAAAGGGUCUGUAGCCGGCCGGAUAAGUCUCUUGAGAAAUCUGGCAGCUUAACUGUCAGGCUUUCAGGAGAUACUGUCUGGCUCGAGGCCGGGAGAGGUGAGAGGUACUUCAGGGGUAGGGGUGAAAUCUUGUAAUCCUUGAAGGACCACCAGUGGCGAAGGCGUCUCACCAGAACGGACCUGACGGCAAGGGACGAAAGCUAGGGGCACGAACCGGAUUAGAUACCCGGGUAGUCCUAGCCGUAAACGAUACUCGCUAGGUGUCGGCCACGGUGCGACCGUUGUCGGUGCCGUAGGGAAGCCGUGAAGCGAGCCACCUGGGAAGUACGGCCGCAAGGCUGAAACUUAAAGGAAUUGGCGGGGGAGCGCCACAACGGGUGGAGCUUGCGGUUUAAUUGGAUUCAACGCCGGAAAUCUUACCGGGACCGACAGCAAUAUGAAGGCCAGGCUGAAGACUUUGCCGGAUUAGCUGAGAGGUGGUGCAUGGCCGUCGUCAGUUCGUACUGUGAAGCAUCCUGUUAAGUCAGGCAACGAGCGAGACCCCCGCC